rnacentral:rRNA from 1 species
AUUGAACGCUGGCGGCAUGCCUUACACAUGCAAGUCGAACGGCAGCACGGGUGCUUGCACCUGGUGGCGAGUGGCGAACGGGUGAGUAAUACAUCGGAACGUACCUUAUCGUGGGGGAUAACGCAGCGAAAGCUGUGCUAAUACCGCAUACGCCAUGAGGGGGAAAGCGGGGGAUCGCAAGACCUCGCGCGAUUAGAGCGGCCGAUGCCUGAUUAGCUUGUUGGGGGGGUAAAAGCCCACCAAGGCGACGAUCAGUAGCUGGUCUGAGAGGACGAUCAGCCACACUGGGACUGAGACACGGCCAGACUCCUACGGGAGGCAGCAGUGGGGAAUUUUGGACAAUGGGGGCAACCCUGAUCCAGCAAUGCCGCGUGAGUGAAGAAGGCCUUCGGGUUGUAAAGCUCUUUUGUCAGGGAAGAAACACCGGCUCUAACACAGUCCGGGAAUGACGGUACCUGAAGAAUAAGCACCGGCUAACUACGUGCCAGCAGCCGCCGUAA